CCUUGCAGGUGUCCAUGGACAGUGGUGGGGUAAUGGUAGGGUCCCCCCCUAGAAUGCCAUGCAGCUGAUCAUAGAAGCAGCAUGUGUGGGGCUCUGACCCAGAGCGACCAUUUGCCUCCUUUGCCUUUUAGUAGGCUUGCUUGAGCGCCUUAACUUUCAUGCAGCACUGCUGUGUGUCCCUGUUGUAGCCUCUCUCCACCAUGCCCUGUGCGAUUUUUGGCAUAUAUAUUAGCAUUUCUUCUUUUUGAUCGGAGUUUGGCCUGCACAGAUUCUUCCCCCCAUACAGCAAUCAGAUCCAUUGUCUCCCUUUCAGUCCAUGCUGGAGCUUGUUUGCGAUUCUGGGGGGACUGCAUGGUCACCUGUGGUGCUGAGCUCACCACUCUGACCAAACAAGAAAUUAAAUUCAAAAUUUCCCAGGGCUUUUCCUGUGUAUCUGGCUAGUGCUUUGGAGUUCAAAGCGCUAUCCAGAGUGGUCACACUGGAGGACUCUGGGAUAGCUCCCAGAUGCCAAUACCAUCGAAUUGUGUCUGCACUAUCCCAAAUUCGACCCAGCCAGGUCAAUUUUAGCGCUACUCCCCUCGCCAGGGGGGAGUACAGAAGUUGAUUUUAAGAGCCCUUUAGGUCGAUGGAAUAGGGUUGGUUGUGUGGACGCUUUCAUUUUAAAAUCGACCUAAUGCGGCUAAAUUUGACCUAACCCCGUAGCGUAGACCAGGGCUAAGAUACAACCGUUCCUGUUUAUCCACUCAGCUAAAAUUGCUCCAGAUUCUUAUCAACUCAUGUCUCAGUUACUGAAUACAAUCUUUUUCUCUGCCCAGACAAAUGCAAUCGUGCCCCAUUCAUAUCCAUUCAGAUGCUGCUGCAAAGGUAAUUUUCCUAGCCCACUGUCUCUUUGACCAUCUCACCCUGUUUACAUCCCUCCACUGACUCCCUUUUCUCUUUCACAUCAAACAUAAGUUACUUUCAAGGCCCUUCAUGGCCUAUCCUAACUCUCCUUUGCUCUGAUGCCCAGAAGAAUUGGUCAGUGUUCAGGUUCGCUGGUGUGUUGAUGCCACUGCCUAUUGUGUUGACUAGUAUUGUUUCCUUGUAAUCCAUCUUUUAUCUGUAGCCAUCUCUUGUCUCUCUUAAUUUACUUUGGAGUUGAGAGCCUUUCUUUUUUGUUCUGCUUCUACUUGUACAUCACCUAGUACAAUGAGGUCCUGGUCCAUAACUAGGCUCCUAGUUUCUGUGGUAAUACUACUACUAAAAUGAUCCAGUGUCUCCCUGAGGCUGGAGAAAAUUUGGAAAAACAAAUCGAAGGUGAACUGCCACACUAACUCAUACUGAAGAUUCUGAAACAAAGAUGACAAUAUCAACGUUAACUAUUUUAUGUUUGGGUAUUAUAGUAGAAAUAUGCAGCCAGUGUGCUAACCCUAAACUGCUUCACAUGUCACAUAAAAGACCCAGCUGUCCUUCACUUAACUGCCAAUCUCCAGCUUCUGUUGACUUGACAACUUCUGUGAUUCUGUUAUGCAUACAGUUAUCUGAGGUAUAACAAACAAACACUGGCUUCAUACUGUGUGUGGUUCAUAAUUUAUGCAUUUAUAAACUGCCUUUUAAAAACUUACCUGACUGUCACAGACUUCAUCUGUUGCCUUAGGGUGCUGUAGAAUUCAGGGCCAUUGCAACAGAAUGCCACAAAGCACAUGGGACCUUGAUUAGUUUGCUCCUAUGUAUUGUUCGUGUGUGAAUGGUGGAAGGGGCUAUCAAAUCAGGGUAAUUGUUCAGUUUGUUACACAGUCUACUAAAGGAAUGUAUAUCUUUUAGGAACAUAGGAAAUAGAAAUCUGCUGGUGCAUGGAAUUUUGAAAUGCAUUGGAGAGUUGCAUUCAGUUGAAUAAGGAAACAUUCUGGAAAUUAUUUAUAAGCAAAUGAUGUUGUCAUCGUCAUCACCGCUCCAAUAACUGCAUUGGUCAUUGGGGCACCAUCACUGAUGAGCAAUCAACUAAUUGUCUCCACCCCUAACGAUUGUGUGUCAGUGCUUGAGUCUCCGAAGUCCAUUCCUGUCCACUCUUUUAUGUUGUCAAUCCAUUUCUUCUUCAGUCUCCCUCUUCUCUUCCUCUGUACCGUCCCUUGAAGGAUGAUCUUGGAUAGGCCAGAUCUUGUUACAUGGCUGUACCACUUCAGCUUGCACUUCUUCAUGGUCACCAGGAGGUCUUCAUAUGACCCAGUGCAUUGGGUGAUGUUGUGGACCUCUUAGUGACGUGGUCAAAGUAGGAGAUGCCCAGGAUUUUACCAAAGUAUCUCAUUUCUACUAUCUGUAUUUUCCAUUCAAGUUCUUCUGUAAGGGUCCAUGUCUCACAUGCAUACAGAAAAAUGGAGAUGACCAAUGCAUGCAGCAGUUUCAGUUUGGAUUCCAGGGCGGUGUUCUUAUUCCUCCAAAUUGGCUUUAGCUUUGUCAGUGCUGCUGCUGUUUGUGCAGUUCUUGCCAGAAUUUCGGCCUUUGAUCGUUCAUCAGUGAUUGUCCCCAAAUACUUGAACUAUUUCACUGUCUCCAGCUCUUGUCCACUGAGUUUGUUCACCCCCUCAAUACUGACUCUGCAUAUGUGAUCUUCUAGGGCAUCAGUCAUGAUGCACUCCAAAUAGAUGUUGAACAGUGUGUGCAAAAGAAGGCAACCUUGCUGGACUCCAACGGUGGUGCAAAACCACUCUCUCCUAUUGUGCCAUUGAUGAGAACUGCACUGCUGGUCUUGGCAUACAGUUCUUUAAUGGUUGUCUUUCUUUGUCAGAGUGAUUAGUGACUGUGUCCAUGUGGAGGGCCACUCACUGGUCUGCCAGAUCUUGUUGCAGAUCUUGGUGAGUACAUCUUACUAUUUCUCCUCCAAAUUUCAUCAGUGCGGCUGGGAUAUCGUCUAUACCUAUAGCUUUUCCGUUCUUGAGUGAUUUCACAGCAUCUGCACUUCAUGUUGUAUUGGAAAUUUCUCCUCCUCUGUUGAAUCUGGGCUGUCUAGGACACUAAAUCUCCACUUGUCUUGUGGUUGCAUAGAUCAGAGCAGUAGUUUGUCCACCUAUUGAUGUCCCUUUCUUCUGUUCCCUUCUUUGUCUUGAAUUGUGUUAGCUUUGGUCCAUCUUUCCUUCGUCAGAUCUUUUACAACCUGGAAGGCUUGUUUGCUAUUUUUAUUAUUGAUACACUCUUCAAUUUUAGAGCAUCAUUUUUCAAUCCAUAUCCCCUUGUCCACUUUCAUUACAUUCUUGAUCUUUCUGCUAAUUGCUCUGUAUUUAUCAGCUUCCCUCAGUGCUGUUCUUGUGUCUCAAGUUCUCUUCUAAUGUCACACAUGUAGUGUUUCAUUUAUGACCCAUGGUUUUGUCUUACGACGUUUUCCAAGUAUGUCCGUUGCUGCCUCAUUCAUUAGUGUUGAAAUUGUUGGUCGUCGCUUCUGCAUCGUCCUCUAGAGCAA